rnacentral:rRNA from 1 species
CAGCAGCCGCGGUAAUUCGUAGGUGGCAAGCGUUGUCCGGAAUUAUUGGGCGUAAAGCGCGCGCAGGUGGUUUAAUAAGUCUGAUGUGAAAGCCCACGGCUCAACCGUGGAGGGUCAUUGGAAACCGUUAAACUUGAGUGCAGGAGAGAAAAGUGGAAUUCCUAGUGUAGCGGUGAAAUGCGUAGAGAUUAGGAGGAACACCAGUGGCGAAGGCGGCUUUUUGGCCUGUAACUGACACUGAGGCGCGAAAGCGUGGGGAGCAAACAGGAUUAGAUACCCCCGUAGUCCCUGUCUCUUAUAC